rnacentral:lncRNA from 1 species
GGGAGCACACGUUGGAUGUGUAAACAAGUUGUAAGUUAUUAUUCUUGGAAGAAAUAUUUGUUAAUACUUUUUAUAUAACAUGUUAAUUAAUAGUCUUGUGUUAUUCUCUCAUUGGUAGGACGAAAAGAAAUGUGGUUUUGAUGAAUGGUAUGAUGAACCCAUUAAUCAGGAAUACUACAAAUCAUGUUUGCUAAACAUUUGGAAUCUGACCGGUGAAUACGAACUCCAGAUUGUAAAGCUACAAGAACAACUUGCGGCAUUGCAGGAAAAACUAAAAGAGGCAAAAGAAGAAAAAAAUAGGUUGGAGGAGAAAUUUAAUUGGUUGAAGC